UACGAAGGGGGCUAGCGUUGUUCGGAAUUACUGGGCGUAAAGCGCGCGCAGGCGGCCUUUCAAGUCAGGGGUGAAAGCCCGGGAGCUCAACUCCGGAAUUGCCUUUGAAACUGUCAGGCUCGAGUACGGGAGAGGUGAGUGGAAUUCCCGAGUGUAGAGGUGAAAUUCGUAGAUAUUGGGAAGAACACCGGUGGCGAAGGCGGCUCACUGGCCCGUUUCUGACGCUCAGGCGCGACAGCGUGGGGAUCAAACAGG
rnacentral:rRNA from 1 species